GAUGAACGCUAGCUACAGGCUUAACACAUGCAAGUCGCGGGGCAGCAUUUUCUUAGCUUGCUAAGGGAGAUGGCGACCGGCGCACGGGUGAGUAACGCGUAUCCAACCUUCCCAUGUCCACGGGAUAGCCCGUCGAAAGGCGGAUUAAUACCGUAUGAGGUCACAUGCGGGCAUCUAAAUGUGACGAAAGGUUUGGCGGACAUGGAUGGGGAUGCGUCCGAUUAGCUUGUUGGCGGGGUAACGGCCCACCAAGGCGACGAUCGGUAGGGGUUCUGAGAGGAAGGUCCCCCCACAUUGGAACUGAGACACGGUCCAAACUCCUACGGGAGGCAGCAGUGAGGAAUAUUGGUCAAUGGACGCAAGUCUGAACCAGCCAAGUAGCGUGCAGGAUGACGGCCCUAUGGGUUGUAAACCUCUUUUGUCGGGGAGUAACGUGCGGGACGGGUCCCGUAUUGAGAGUACCCGAAGAAAAGCAUCGGCUAACUCCGUGCCAGCAGCCGCGGU
rnacentral:rRNA from 1 species